rnacentral:rRNA from 1 species
AGAUUGGACGCUAGCGGCAUGCCUAACACAUGCAAGUCGAACGGUAACAGGCCCUUCGGGGUGCUGACGAGUGGCGGACGGGUGAGUAAUGCGUAGGAAUCUACCCACGAGUGGGGGAUAGCCCGGAGAAAUCCGGAUUAAUACCGCAUAUGCCCUACGGGGUAAAGCGGGGGAUCGUAAUACCUCGCGCUAAGAGAGGAGCCUACGUCCGAUUAGCUAGUUGGCGGGGUAAAGGCCUACCAAGGCUACGAUCGGUAGCUGGCCUGAGAGGACGGCCAGCCACACUGGGACUGAGACACGGCCCAGACUCCUACGGGAGGCAGC